GAUGAACGCUGGCGGCGUGCCUAAUACAUGCAAGUCGAGCGAACAGACGAGGAGCUUGCUCCUCUGACGUUAGCGGCGGACGGGUGAGUAACACGUGGAUAACCUACCUAUAAGACUGGGAUAACUUCGGGAAACCGGAGCUAAUACCGGAUAAUAUAUUGAACCGCAUGGUUCAAUAGUGAAAGACGGUUUUGCUGUCACUUAUAGAUGGAUCCGCGCCGCAUUAGCUAGUUGGUAAGGUAACGGCUUACCAAGGCAACGAUGCGUAGCCGACCUGAGAGGGUGAUCGGCCACACUGGAACUGAGACACGGUCCAGACUCCUACGGGAGGCAGCAGUAGGGAAUCUUCCGCAAUGGGCGAAAGCCUGACGGAGCAACGCCGCGUGAGUGAUGAAGGUCUUCGGAUCGUAAAACUCUGUUAUUAGGGAAGAACAAAUGUGUAAGUAACGAUGCACGUCUUGACGGUACCUAAUCAGAAAGCCACGGCUAACUACGAG
rnacentral:rRNA from 1 species